rnacentral:ncRNA from 1 species
CCUUUCUAUAUUUGACUCCGAUGAAAACAUUGAUUACAACAAACUGGUGGUGGGUAUCUGAUCGCGGAACGUCGUGACCUGAGCCCCCCUGUGUUUGUCCACCAUACCUAAGGCUUGUC